GUGAGAGACAGGUCGUCAUACAACUUGACUUCAACUCCCAUAUCAAGUCUGGAAUUUUAUUAUGCCAAUGUCUGCUGCCAAGUAAUGAGGCUAUCAUAAUGACAAUUCAGAUCACAUUGUGUGAAAGAUCUACAACUACCCUCAUUUACCACCACAGAAGGACAGGACACCGGAUGAAGAGCUCCAGAAGGUCUGUUUGUGCCAAGGCUGGGCAGUCACCCAGGAGGGAAGAGUGAAAUUCCUGCUGAUGUCUCAGAAGUGGGGUCAAGCAUUUCACAG